rnacentral:miRNA from 1 species
CUGACACAUUCCAGCCAAUCAGCAGCAGACCCUCCCUCCCAGGCCCUCCCACCUCCUGGACAGCAUCCAUUUUGAAGCUGCAUUCUUAGUGAGCUGUCCAAGAGGUGGGAGGGUCUGGGAGGGAGGGUCUGCUGCUGAUUGGCUGGAAUGUGUCAG